UACGUAGGGACCAAGCGUUGUUCGGAUUUACUGGGCGUAAAGGGCGCGUAGGCGGCUUAACAAGUCACUUGUGAAAUCUCCGGGCUUAACUCGGAACGGCCAAGUGAAACUGUCAAGCUAGAGUGCAGAAGGGGCAAUCGGAAUUCUUGGUGUAGCGGUGAAAUGCGUAGAUAUCGAGAGGAACACCUGCGGCGAAGGCGGGUUGCUGGGCUGACACUGACGCUGAAGUGCGAAAGCUAGGGGAGCGAACGGG
rnacentral:rRNA from 1 species